UAUGUAUUUGCCCUGUUGUUACACUCUUCUGUUUAUAGCUGUUGGUGAUAAAAUUCUGGGCUCACAGCCUCUUGAGCUGAGCUCGUAUCACUGUUCUUAGGUACUAAUUAAUUAAUUAGUAAAUGAAAAACAGAAACAGACUAUCUACAGUGAGAGCAUGUUCUCCUUUGCUGGAGACAUUUAAAAGCAGGCUCUUCUGCACCACACCUUUGUGAGGCUAAGACUUCUCUGCUUUAGAAGGUAAAGAAUGAGGAAAUAUAUUAAUAAAAUCCAAGUGUCUCAGACAUUUUUAUGAGUGGGCUCCCUUGGCUGUCGGUGAAACUACUGAAGAUCACAUAGGUCCUGAAGGGAGUGAGCAAGUACGGCAAAGCUUCGGACAACUGAUGAAGUUACUGCCUCCAGUUGUCUGCUGCGCAGAGGAUGAGGCCUUUAUGGAUUAACUCUAUUACUCUGAGUACAUUAAAGUUCAGAGCAAGGACUUUAUAGCAGCCAGCAAGUGGCGAAGCACCAUCUGGAUUGGAGUGGCACAGCAUGGAAAGCUAACAUACAUGCUGCACCAGAAACAAAGCAGAUUUAUCCUUAUGUUCACUGGAAGGCAGCUGAUCAGCUUCCAACAGACCGCAACAGUUCCAAACACAAUUGAAUAAAAUACAUAUAUUUGUUGCCAAAGAUGGAGUUACAGUAUUGUUAACAUGGGUCAGGAAAUGUCUGGUCUCUCAAUCCCUGCUGAAAUAAAAAGGCA
rnacentral:lncRNA from 1 species